rnacentral:rRNA from 1 species
AGUGAACGCUGGCGGUAGGCCUAACACAUGCAAGUCGAACGGCAGCACAGAGGAGCUUGCUCCUUGGGUGGCGAGUGGCGGACGGGUGAGGAAUACAUCGGAAUCUACUCUGUCGUGGGGGAUAGCGUAGGGAAACUUACGCUAAUACCGCAUACGACCUACGGGUGAAAGCAGGGGACCUUCGGGCCUUGCGCGAUUGAAUGAGCCGAUGUCGGAUUAGCUAGUUGGCGGGGUAAAGGCCCACCAAGGCGACGAUCCGUAGCUGGUCUGAGAGGAUGAUCAGCCGCACUGGAACUGAGACACGGUCCAGACUCCUACGGGAGGCAGCAGUGGGGAAUAUUGGACAAUGGGCGCAAGCCUGAUCCAGCCAUACCGCGUGGGUGAAGAAGGCCUUCGGGUUGUAAAGCCCUUUUGUUGGGAAAGAAAUCCAGCUGGCUAAUACCCGGUUGGGAUGACGGUACCCAAAGAAUAAGCACCGGCUAACUUCGUGCCAGCAGCCGCAGUAA